AGUGAACGCUGGCGGUAGGCCUAACACAUGCAAGUCAAACGGCAGCACAGUAAGAGCUUGCUCUUACGGGUGGCGAGUGGCGGACGGGUGAGGAAUACAUCGGGAUCUACUUUUUCGUGGGGGAUAACGUAGGGAAACUUACGCUAAUACCGCAUACGACCUACGGGUGAAAGCAGGGGAUCUUCUGACCUUGCGCGAUUGAAUGAGCCGAUGUCGGAUUAGCUAGUUGGCGGGGUAAAGGCCCACCAAGGCGACGAUCCGUAGCUGGUCUGAGAGGAUGAUCAGCCACACUGGAACUGAGACACGGUCCAGACUCCUACGGGAGGCAGCAGUGGGGAAUAUUGGACAAUGGGCGCAAGCCUGAUCCAGCCAUACCGCGUGGGUGAAGAAGGCCUUCGGGUUGUAAAGCCCUUUUGUUGGGAAAGAAAAGCAGCAGGUUAAUACCCCGCUGUUCUGACGGUACCCAAAGAAUAAGCACCGGCUAACUUCGUG
rnacentral:rRNA from 1 species